rnacentral:pre_miRNA from 1 species
GAAAUCAAGUGUAGGUGGAGCCUGUGGCAGCGAUCAAGGCGACCCACACUUGGUUUCAA